CGGCCGAGCCGAUGCAAAUUUCUCACGAGUUAUCUACUAUAAUUGUGGCCAAAACCUUUGGUCAUAAACACGUCAAUCCUUUUACCGAUAAAUUCCUCGCCAAUUGCCACAUGUUUCAAUUUUAUGAUUUUAGGAUUUGAAGUUUUGUUUGGCCUUUUCAUUUGUUAAAGGUCAAUUGAUUAUUUGCGAAAUUGAAUCUGAUGAAAUCUUUUAUGGAAUUAUACAGCGGAAACUUUAUGGAAAUUGGUAUAAAUAAAUGUUGCAACUAUUUUAUUGUUAAAAAUUUCGAAGUCUCUUCUAGCAUUUAUUUUGAAUGAGUUUUGCACAAAGGAGCAGUGUAUGUGUGCUUAUGUAUUGUUUUGAUUGAGUAAAAGUUUGCUGCUUAAAUAUUGAUGGCAUUUUUUUGCCUUUGUUGUGCGCGGAUUUAUUGAUGUUUUUAGUUCUCAAAUUAGAUCACGCAUCUAUGGCGAUAAAACAGAAAUGUUUUUUUAGUUGCAAUCUAUUGUUGAAUGCUUGAAUAGUUGACUAGCAGGAGCCUUUGUUUACGAGUAUUAGUAUGAGAAAGGCGGUAAUACUUAACAUAAGUAGUUGAAAAUUAAUGUGUACAAUGAUGAAGAACAAUAGCUCCAACAUUGUAACUUAGGACUGUAAUUUUUGUAAUUUUGGUAACUGUCGCGCUCGCAAAUACUCUAUUCUUUGUGAUGCUAGCUUGAUGAAAUUAAGAUUAUGUAGCUGUAUUUUGCAGCCUUGUGUGUGACUCAGAAAAGGCGGCGUCAUUGGAGAUGGACAAAGUUCAUGAUUCUUCUAACUCAUUAUGUGUGUGUGUGUCUGUCUGUGUGUGUGUGUUCGUUUUUUGUCAGUUGUUUAGGAUAUACUGCCAUUAUAAGUUCUCUGAUAAACAUUUCAAUUUUAUUUUUGCUGGGGAUGUGAGGCGAAUAAGUAAUCUUGAAUCUCUUUUCUUUCAUGAUAAACCUAUUCCUGAGGAAAUAAUUGAGAAGUAUUGGGCUUGCCUUGGGUGAGAAAAAUGUUGGAGUAAAUCCUCUAUGCCUUGUCUGCAA
rnacentral:lncRNA from 1 species